rnacentral:rRNA from 1 species
AUUGAACGCUGGCGGCAUGCCUUACACAUGCAAGUCGAACGGUAACGGGCCUUCGGGUGCCGACGAGUGGCGAACGGGUGAGUAAUGCAUCGGAACGUACCUUUCAGUGGGGGAUAACGUAGCGAAAGUUACGCUAAUACCGCAUAUUCUGUGAGCAGGAAAGCAGGGGAUCGCAAGACCUUGCGCUGAUUGAGCGGCCGAUGUCAGAUUAGCUAGUUGGUGAGGUAAAGGCUCACCAAGGCGACGAUCUGUAGCGGGUCUGAGAGGAUGAUCCGCCACACUGGAACUGAGACACGGUCCAGACUCCUACGGGAGGCAGCAGUGGGGAAUUUUGGACAAUGGGGGCAACCCUGAUCCAGCCAUGCCGCGUGAGUGAAGAAGGCCUUCGGUUGUAAGACGUCUUC